rnacentral:misc_RNA from 1 species
UUUCCGUAGGUGAACCUGCGGAAGGAUCAUUACUGAGUGCGGGCCCUCUGGGUCCAACCUCCCAACCGUGUUUAUUGUACCUUGUUGCUUCGGUGUGCCUGCCUCACGGCCGCCGGGGGGCAUCUGCCCCCGGGCCCGCGCUCGCCGAAGACACCAUUGAACUCUGUCUGAAGUUUGCAUUCUGAGCGAAAACUAAAUAAGUUAAAACUUUCAACAACGGAUCUCUUGGUUCCG